GCGGCUAACUCAGUUGGUAGAGCAUGGGACACUUGAUCCCAGGACCAUGGGAUUGAGCCCCACACUGGGCG
rnacentral:tRNA from 1 species